UAGUGAGAAAUCAUGUUUAUGGCUGGUUAUGUGUAGUGGAUAUGAACUAAGAUGCAGAUGAUAAAACACCAAUUUUCUGUUUACCACAUGUAACCAAUAGAGGUCAAGAUGGCUGCAGUCCAUUCCCAGGAACAACAUAUUGUGUGUCCACAAAAGUUUGUUUCCAACCGCUUAAACAAACAUUUCUUCCUUCCUCCCAUAAUUUCAUUUGUAAUUUUGUCAUCAUCCAGUCCAGGAAGAUAUACCCAGUGUACCUUUAUUUGCCAUCAAAAUUUAUAUAGCCUUUAUAAUUAUAAAUUUUUCUUUGGCUGGCCUGGCUGGCAGAUGGCCAAGAAUAGCACAGGCAGUUUAUUAUCCUGUUAAUGUUGUGGCAAGCCGUACAUUCUUCUCACAGAAAUUCAAAUGCAACUGGCAAUUAGGCAAACUAUAUACAUGCAGAAUUUAUACAUCAGCAUGGUCUUGGUAAACAUGGAAAUUAAACUUGUGUAGUAAAGUGUUUUUUUGCAUACUAGCUUUUAAAAAAGGAAAGAUUAGAAUUGUAAUGGACGUUGAAAAAAUAAUUGAGUUGGUUCGAGAAAAACCACACCUGUCGGAUGCCAAACAUCCAGAUCACAAGAACAAAUCAAAUACAUACUAGAAAAUUCAUGGAAAAGUAUUUCCGAGCAGUUUGAAAACCAUACAAGUAAGUAGAAUCUAUGCCCCGAUUAUUGUACAUAUGGAAAUGUUAAUAAAAUUAGUUUAAUAUUGUAGGGAUGGAUAUAAGAAACAAAUGGAGAAAUAAAUAUUCGUGAUACCUAUUUCAAAAAGAAAAAAGGGUUAAAGACGCAAUCAAAAGUGGUGCUGGUUCGGAUGCGGUUUUGAAGCUGCAGAACUGGAGAUGGUUUAGCCUAUUGAGUUAGCUUGAUGAUAGCCUGCGACAUGAAGCAACUGAAAGCAACUUUAUAGUUGCAACUUUUGAUCCAAAAGACAUUGGUUGCGAAGAUGGAGGUGAGAAACAGCAUCUUACAGUGGUUAUAAUUAAUAAAAUAAUAUGAUUGUGUUGUUUGAUUUAGUACAAAAGGCUGGAUUCUGACAGCUAUGAACUGAACUUAACUUCUGUAAGUGAGUCGGUAAACCUAAAUGUAGUCAUAGUUGUCAGUCUACCAGUAACAAGACAGUUGGAUUAUGUACUUCGGAAGUGGAACCAAUACUUAGUCCAAAACGACGGUAUUGGAGAAAGAGAUUUUCACCCAAAAAGAAAAGAAGAACUGAUACUUCAUUGCAGGAAGUUAUGAUGCAAUCAUUAUCCGAUAACAGCUUACUGAUGAGAAAUGUUAUUCAACCUCCAAGUUUAUGUGAAAAUUUUGGCACGGUUAUUGGCCAAAGAUUGGAGGCAUUGGGAGAUGUGAAGGCACGAAAAGCUUUUUAUAAAAUGUGUGCUGUAUUAAAUGAAUUCGAAUCGGAAGAUAGUAUUCAAAAGUAGCUACUUAAAUUCAAUACCUCAUUACUAAGUAGGACUGUGUUUUUUUCUAUUUUGUGUUCGCGUUCCCUUUAUAUGUUUUCAGUGUGAUCCGAUAACUUAUUUCGUUUAUUCUAUCGUUCUGUUUAUUUUUUGUGUUCAUCUGAAGCAGCGGUUCCCAACCUUUUGUGCCGUGACCCUUUUAUAAAACAUUUGCCAAGUUGCGGUGACCCCAAGGAUAAAAUUAGUUGGGUUCUCCUUCACUGCACUUUUGGAGCUAACUAGUAGGCUAUAUA